UACCUGGUGACGAUAUCUAUG
rnacentral:siRNA from 1 species